GGUGUUUCCUCCAAGGCUGCCCCCCAGAAGGACCUGCCCGAGAGGGUAGAGGGCAUAGGGUCAAGAUCAAGAUAAGGCAGCUCCAGCCCCUGGAAGGCCAGAGACUUGCCAGUGUCCCACUAGCGGGCUCUUUGCAAGAAUCUCCCCAGGCCCGCCGCAGCCAGGUGGCGGCCGGCAGAGGGCGCUGCUCGGGCAUGGCGGAGGAGCGGCCGGGGGCCUGGUUCGGCUUCGGUUUCUGCGGCUUCGGGCAGGAGCUGGGCUCCGGACGCGGGCGCCAGGUGCACAGCCCCAGUCCGCUGCGGGCGGGCGUCGACAUCUGCCGCGUGAGCGCGAGCUGGAGCUACACAGCUUUCGUGACCCGUGAGCACUCCCCGCCCCGUCCCCACUUAUUCCAGCCGCGCUCCCCAGUCGCCUCCCCGCACCGCUGUGGCCAGUCCAGUGUGUCUCCCCCGUUCAGGCCGCCAGCCCCACAUUCUGGACUGGUCCCCAAUUCGGCCCCUUCCCAGGAACACCCCCCCACCCGCCUCCAUUCUGGCCACCCUGCUCCAAUCUAGACCAGCCCCCAGCGCCGCCCCAAAUUCUAGGCCCUCGGUGCAUGUCCCUUCCCCUCCCUAGCCCGCUCUCCGCCCCGCAGGUGGAGGCCGCGUGGAGCUGUCGGGCUCAGCCAGCGGCGCGGCGGGCGGCUGCAAGGACGCGUGGGCCUCAGAGGGGCUCCUCGUGGUGCUACGCGCCCGGCCGGGGCCGGAGGCGUUACUGCAGGUCUGGGCGCCCGAAUCGGCGUUGCGUGGGGAGCCCUUGUGGGCCCAGAACGUGGUGCCCGAGGCCGAAGGGGAAGACGAUCCGGCCGGUGAGGCCCAGGCUGGGAGGCUACCCCUGCUGCCCUGCGCCUGUGCCUACGUGAGCCCGCGGGCGCCCUUCUACCGGCCUCUGGCUCCGGAGCUGCGGGCACGCCAGCUGGAGCUGGGCGCCGAGCACGCGUUGCUGCUGGAUGCUGCUGGCCAGGUGUUCUCCUGGGGCGGGGGCAGGCAUGGACAGCUGGGCCAUGGGACCCUGGAGGCAGAGCUGGAGCCACGGCUGUUGGAGGCGUUGCAGGGCCUAGUCAUGGCUGAGGUGGCCGCGGGGGGCUGGCAUUCUGUGUGUGUGAGUGAGACUGGUGAUAUUUAUAUCUGGGGCUGGAAUGAAUCAGGGCAGCUGGCCCUGCCCACCAGGAACCUGGCAGAGGAUGGAGAGACUGUCGCAAAGGACGCCACAGAACUGAAUGAAGAUGGUUCUCAGGUGAAGAGAACGGGCGGGGCUGAGGAUGGAGCCCCUGCCCCCUUCAUAGCUGUCCAGCCCUUCCCAGCAUUACUGGAUCUCCCCUUGGGCUCAGAUGCAGUCAAGGCCAGCUGUGGAUCCCGGCACACAGCUGUGGUGACACGAACAGGGGAGCUCUACACCUGGGGCUGGGGUAAAUACGGACAGCUGGGCCACGAGGACACCACCAGCUUGGAUCGGCCCCGCCGUGUGGAAUACUUUGUAGAUAAGAAACUCCAAGUAAAGGCUGUCACCUGUGGGCCCUGGAACACCUACGUGUAUGCUGUGGAGAAAGGGAAGAGCUGAUGUGUGUAUGUAUAUGUAUAUACAACACCUGUGAAACCCCCAUUCAGGUCAAGGAAAACCAUUGCCUGCACCUCAAGGGCCCCAUAUUUGCCCCUCCCCAUCACAGUCCUGCCCUUCACCCUCAAGCACGGUCCUAAACUUGUCUGCACUUUAGAAACACCUGGAGAGCAUUGAAAACUCUGCUGCCUAAGGUCAGCAUCAAUGAAAACAAUGAAGUCAAUGAAACAAUGAAAUCAGAGCCUCUAGGUGUGUGGCCUGGAUAGUGGUAGAUUCAAAGCUCCGCCUACCUCAUCCCAGGUACAUUUGAUGUGCAGCUGAGAUUGGGGCACAUUCCAGGUCAUCUUCCUUUGUCAGUCACUUCCCUGCUUUUGUUAGAAUUUUACCAUUCUUGUAUGCAGCCUUACACGACAUAGUUGUGUUUGCUUUUGAGUGUUAGGUAAAUGGAAUCCUGUGUAUGUGCUUUCGUGUCGUUUUUGUCACUCAGCAUUGUGUGAUCCAUUCUUGUUGGGUCCUGGAGUUCAUUCAUUUUUAAUGCUAUAUGGUGUUCUGUUGUAUGAAUAAUACCUCAAGUGAUACA
rnacentral:sRNA from 1 species